rnacentral:tRNA from 1 species
CAGAUUAUAGCUUAUUUAAAGCUUUUUAUUUACACUAAUAGGAAAACUCUAUUGUUUAUUCUGA